CACUGCUAAAAGGGAGCAACGGGAGAGACAGGAGAGGUCUGCUGCACCAUGUAGGACCUUGCUAUUCUGCCAUGAUCCAACCAGCGCUGCAGAGGCUACCGACAGCUUCUCAGCGCUGAGCUCAACCGCCUGCGCCACCAGGGGAGGCCCAGAGGGUGCUUUUUACCUCUGGUAUCUCCCUCCAUGCUAGUCCCCCCACAUCCAGUAAAGCCUUGGAGCUCCGUAUUUUGCCUUGACUGCAAGCACAGCCCCCCUGCACAGACCUGUCCUGUCCUCUGGCCUCAGCUCCCACCUCCAGCCAGUGCAGCUCCUGCUCCUGAGCCCUCAACACGGGCCCUUCCUCACCCCUCCUGUCCUCACCCCAAACCCUCCUUUCUGGUCAGCACCGCAACCCAGGCCCUGAUCAUCUCUGCACCCCAGUCCUGUCCUCAGCACCAGUCUCCCAGCUGCCUGUUUAUCUUCCGGCAUCCCGCCCUCCCCAGACCUGAGAGCUGCUCCUGAUGCGGCUCCUCUACGGUCUUCACCCUCUUGGGUUCCUUGACCCCAGUGGGCUCUCACUCCUCACAACACAGAUCCGCUACCCUAUGGCAGCCUUCCCCCACACCCCCACCCCUGCCCUACUCCCCUCUGCCGCCUGAUGGACACAGCUCUGUCUGUGGAGGGGCCUCAUCACCACCUGCAUCACCCCACACUGCAGCUCUCCCCUCCUGUGGCCUGGCCACCUGCUGGGCAUUGAAGUUCUGCUCCCCAGGCCCCCCCUAUCUAAACUCUCCCUGGGCCCACAGGCUGACUCCCAGUCCCUGCACCUGCCUCUCCCCCGGUCACAGACAGGUUCAUCCACCUCCCCAACCUGUCCUUGAACCACAGCCCGGCCUGGCUCAUGUGGCCUCCUGCCUCUCACCUCAGCUGUUCUGAUCUCUGACCCCUGCCCUGGGCUUUCAUGUCCCCUCCCUUCUCUCUGAUAAGAACCCCAGUGCUCUUAGGUACCCAGUGCCCCUCUCUUGGCCUCUGACCCCAGUUUCCCUUCUCCAUCGUUUUCAUCCACUCUCACCCCUCUCCUUCCUUCCUUUCUUUUUUGAGAUUUAUUUACUUACAUAGUUGCUAAUUUUUGUACAGAAUUUGAUUUCCCUGCUCAGGUGCAGUCCCCUUGGUCCAUCACCCUAUCCCUGUGCUCUCCCUCCCCAGGCUGCCCCUCCUUGGCCCUCUCCUUCCUUCUUGCCUGGUGUCCUGUACUGCGAAUCCUCAUCCUGUCCCAGGAACACAGCCCUGUCUGCAGCCCCCAGGCCUCCAGGCCUCAGGACACGCAGCCUCGGGUGACUCUGAUGCUCAGGCUCCCAUUCCCUCCAGGAGGUUCGGGGCUGUGAGAUCCAGGAAGACACCACCACCAGGGCCUUCAGCGCUUCUUCUAUAAUGGGGAGCCCUUCCUCUUCUAUAACGAGACGACCCAUGAAUGGGAAGCACCCCAGUCCUCGGUUCUUCCCUUGGCUAUGGAAGUCAAGAAUCCUGGGACACAGAUAGGAUUGGAAGCCAGAAUUCCUGGGCCCUUGUGCGUGGUGACGUUUGUGGGAAACUGCAGAGAUACCGGGAAUCCUGGAAGGCCUUCACUAAGAGAAUCGCUGUGAAUGCCACCUGCAGCCUGGCCUCGGAGGGCGUGGUCAAUGUGACCUGCUGGGCCUCCGGCUUCUCUCCCGGAAUAUCUCACUGGUCUGGCUGCAGGAGGAUGAGCCUCUGAACCAGACGCCCAGGCGCCUGGGGGUGUCCCGCGUGAUGAGAACGGGACCUAUUGGGCUUGGGUGGCCCUAAGGAUUCCCCAAGGAGAGGAGCAGAGGGUCACCUGCUCCGUGGAAAACAACUGGAAUCGCACUGUGACCUGUGGAAAUGUGCAGGUGCAUCAGGGUCCAAGGCCAGCUGUGUCCCGGGGUAUUGCUGUUGCUGCCGCUUUCACAGUACUUAUCGCUGCUGCCCUUCUUUAUAACUUUUGGCUCAGGAAGACAUCAGCUGGGGAGCGUCCCGGGCCCUUUAGUGGGGAAGACCUGAGCCAAGUGGUGACAAUGGACCUUCACGGGCUCUCAGCCUCUCUUGUCAUGGCCUGAGUCCAGGGACUCAACUGGGGACACUUAGGGUCUGCACAUCUGGCCUGGACUCACUGCCUGCGCUCCUCUCACCAGCACUUUCUCUUGGUGCCUCCCUUUUCUCAUCUGAAGUUAGAUGACAGCAUUCUCUGUCUCUGUCUUUCCUCUAUAUUUUCUGAGAAGUCCUACACCAGCUUUCUUUGUGCUCUGUCAUUUUGUCUCUCUGUGCCGGUCAUGUAAUAUAUGUAUAUAUAGUGUGUGUGUAUAUAUAUGUGUAUAUGUGUGUGUGUAUAUUUAUGUACAUACCUAUAAAUUUCAUUUGUGCAGUAUUUUACAAUUUACAUU